rnacentral:lncRNA from 1 species
GGUCCCUCACAAUCUUUCGAUCUGAGCACCUCGAGAUGUCCUCAUCAGGGACCUCAAACUUCCUUGGUUGAUAAUACUCCAUGGGUUGCUGGACGAGAUAAUCAUAUAGUACACUCCCCUUGAUUUUCUGGGAGGUAUACUGAAUAUCGUAUUCAGUCGACACCAUUUGCCCUCUCGCAACCCGUCCGAUCAAUGUUAGCUUCUCAAACACA